rnacentral:misc_RNA from 1 species
UCUCCGUAGGUGAACCUGCGGAGGGAUCAUUACAGAGUUCAUGCCCUACCGGGUAGAUCUCCCACCCUAUGUUAUUAUUACUUUGUUGCUUUGGCGGGCCGUUAGGCUCCGGCCCGACUACCGGCCCCGGCUGGUAAGCGCCCGCCAGAGGACCCAAAACCCUGAAUAUUAGUGUCGUCUGAGCACUAUAUAAUAGUUAAAACUUUCAACAACGGAUCUCUUGGUUCUG